CCUCCCACGGUGAAGGUGUAAAGCAGAAGGCUGGCCAAGGACCAAGGUCCCAGCAAAUGAUGCUGGGAGAAGGCACGCGUCUGAGAGUACACAAGUUCCUGCUGAACCAACUGUGUCCCCAGUUCUUGCUUCAAGAAAAUGUGAAACUCUGCACGAGGAUGCUAGCACGUACGAUUCCUGGCUUCUUGGGAAAUCUCACGCACAAAACUGCCUUUCUCCUCUGCACUGACCGAAUCCACAGUGAGACACCGUGAGGGACAAACUCAGGAGCCUUGGAUACAGAAGUUGACAUUAAUCCCAUGUCAGCUUUGCAGUGAACCCGGAAGAUCUCCGCAGAGGACAACACACCCCUCUUUGCUCUGAAUAAAACUCCAGCAGUUGCAUAUUUCUUCUGAGUUGUGGCUUUGCUGCCCCUGACGCCUUGCUUCAGCAGCCCUGCCCUGCACCUGUGACUGAGGUCCACCAGGCAAAACCAGACAGAAAACCGCACCAAAC
rnacentral:lncRNA from 1 species